UACGAAGGGGGCUAGCGUUGUUCGGAAUUACUGGGCGUAAAGGGCGCGUAGGCGGUACUUCAAGUCAGGCGUGAAAGCCCCGGGCUCAACCUGGGAACCGCGCUUGAGACUGGAGAACUAGAGUUCGGGAGAGGAUGGUGGAAUUCCCAGUGUAGAGGUGAAAUUCGUAGAUAUUGGGAAGAACACCGAUGGCGAAGGCAGCCAUCUGGACCGACACUGACGCUGAGGCGCGAAAGCGUGGGGAGUAAACAGG
rnacentral:rRNA from 1 species